UCCCGUUGAUCCUGCGGGAGAUUGCUGCUAUUGGGAUUCGACUAAGGCAUGCAAGUCUUCUAGCAAUAGAGGCGAAAUGCUCAGUAACACGUCGCUAAUCUGCCCUUAGGUCAGGGAUAACCUCGGAAAACUGAGGCUAAUAUCUGAUAAGAGAUUAUAUCUGGAACGAUUUAUCUCCUAAAUUCGAGCCUAAGGAUGAGGCGGCGCCGGAUUAAGCUGUUGGCGGGGUAAUGGCCCACCAAACCGAAGAUCCGUACGGGCCUUGAGAGAGGUAGCCCGGAGAAGGACACUGAGAUACUGGUCCUAGCCCUACGGGGUGCAGCAGCCGCGUAACCUUUACAAUGCACGCAAGUGUGAUAAGGGGAUCCCAAGUGCUUAUGCUUUGCAUAGGCUUUUGCUAAGACUAAAACUCUUAACGAAUAAGUGGUGGGUAAGACUGGUGCCAGCCGCCGCGGUAACACCAGCGCCACGAGUGGCAAUCGCGAUUAUUGGGCCUAAAGCGUCCGUAGCCGGUUUGGCAAAUCUUUUUGUGAAAUCGUCAGGCUUAACUUGACGAAUGGCAGAAGACACUACCAAACUCGGGACCGGGAGGAGUCAGAAGUAUUCUAGGGGGAUCGGUAAAAUGAUAUAAUCCCUAGAGGACUACCGAUGGCGAAGGCAUCUGACUAGAACGGAUCCGACGGUGAGGGACGAAAGCCAGGGGAGCGAACCGGAUUAGAUACCCGAGUAGUCCUGGCCGUAAACGCUGCGAGCAAGGUGUUGCACAAACUACGGGUUUGUGCAGUGUCGAAAAGAAGUUGUUAAGCUCGCCGCCUGGGAAGUACGGUCGCAAGACUGAAACUUUAAGGAAUUGGCGGGGGAGCACCACAAGGGGUGCGGCGUGCGGUUUAAUCUAACUCAACGCAGAAAAUCUCACUAGGGGCGACGGCAGGAUGAAGGUCAGUCUGAAGGGCUUACCUGACGAGCCGAGAGGUAGUGCAUGGCCGUCGUCAGCUCGUGCUGUAAAGUGUCCUCUUAAGUGAGGCAACGAGCGAGACCUGUAUCCACAAUUGCUAACGACCGCUUGCGGGAUCGAGCACAUUGUAGAGUCUGCCCUGGAAACAGGGAGGAAGGUGCAGGCUACGGUAGGUCUGUAUGCUCCGAAUCUCCUAGGCUACACGCGCGCAACAAUGGUGAGGACAAUGGGAUGCAACUCCGAAAGGAGAAGCUAAACCUCUAAACCUUAUCCCAGUCCAGAUUGAGGAUUGAAACUCAUCCUCAUGACGACGGAAUCCCUAGUAAUCAGAAGUCAUCAUCUUCUGGUGAAUAUGUCCCUGCUCCUUGCACACACCGCCCGUCAAGCCAACCGAGCAGGGUUUUGGUAAAAUUCAGUUUUUUGAUUGAAUUGAAUCUAAGCUCAGUGAGGUGGGCUAAGUCGUCACAAGGUA
rnacentral:rRNA from 1 species